UCGUUCAGAACCUCAGGAAGGAUGGCAAGAAACCUAGUGCAUACAUUGCUGACACCACUACUGCUAAUGCUCAGGUACGUACGUUGUCUGAGACUGUGAGGCUAGAUGCAAGGACAAAGUUGUUGAACCCCAAGUGGUAUGAAGGCAUGCUGUCCACUGGCUACGAGGGUGUUCGUGAGAUUGAGAAACGAUUGACCAACACAGUGGGGUGGAGUGCAACUUCAGGCCAAGUUGACAAUUGGGUGUAUGAAGAAGCCAACACAACAUUCAUCAAAGAUGAAGAGAUGUUGAACAGGCUUAUGAACACAAAUCCAAAUUCUUUCAGGAAGUUGCUUCAGACAUUCUUGGAGGCCAACGGGCGUGGAUACUGGGAUACUUCUGAAGAGAACAUUGAGAAACUCAAGCAAUUGUACUCAGAAGUCGAAGACAAGAUUGAAGGAAUAGACCGAUAAAUGUAUAGCUAAAUAUAUGAUCUCUGAUUAUUGUUUGUUUCUGCUACAGGAUAAUAAGAUCCUUUCUGCUUCCUAACAAUUUCUGAUGUGAAUUCCUUUGAUAGUCCCCAGUGUAAUUUUUGUUCAUCUUUUGGGGAUGUCUUUCUACUUCUAUGAGAAAAAUACUGCUUCCAUAUGUUCAAAUUUG
rnacentral:misc_RNA from 1 species